rnacentral:rRNA from 1 species
GACGAACGCUGGCGGCGUGCUUAACACAUGCAAGUCGAACGGAAAGGCCCUGCUUUUGUGGGGUGCUCGAGUGGCGAACGGGUGAGUAACACGUGAGUAACCUGCCCUUGACUUUGGGAUAACUUCAGGAAACUGGGGCUAAUACCGGAUAGGAGCUCCUGCUGCAUGGUGGGGGUUGGAAAGUUUCGGCGGUUGGGGAUGGACUCGCGGCUUAUCAGCUUGUUGGUGGGGUAGUGGCUUACCAAGGCUUUGACGGGUAGCCGGCCUGAGAGGGUGACCGGGCACAUUGGGACUGAGAUACGGCCCAGACUCCUACGGGAGGCAGCAGUGGGGAGUAUUGCACAAUGGGCGGAAGCCUGAUGCAGCAACGCCGCGUGCGGGAUGACGGCCUUCGGGUUAUAAACCGCUUUCGCAUGUGACGAAGCGUGAGUGACGGUAAUGGGUAAAGAAGCACCGGCUAACUACGUG